AUUGAACGCUGGCGGCAGGCCUAACACAUGCAAGUCGAGCGGAUGAGGGGAGCUUGCUCCUCGAUUCAGCGGCGGACGGGUGAGUAAUGCCUAGGAAUCUGCCUAGUAGUGGGGGACAACGUUUCGAAAGGAACGCUAAUACCGCAUACGUCCUACGGGAGAAAGUGGGGGAUCUUCGGACCUCACGCUAUUAGAUGAGCCUAGGUCGGAUUAGCUAGUUGGUGGGGUAAAGGCCUACCAAGGCGACGAUCCGUAACUGGUCUGAGAGGAUGAUCAGUCACACUGGAACUGAGACACGGUCCAGACUCCUACGGGAGGCAGCAGUGGGGAAUAUUGGACAAUGGGCGAAAGCCUGAUCCAGCCAUGCCGCGUGUGUGAAGAAGGCCUUCGGGUCGUAAAGCACUUUAAGUUGGGAGGAAGGGCUCAUAGCGAAUACCUGUGAGUUUUGACGUUACCAACAGAAUAAGCACCGGCUAACUUCGUGCCAGCAGCCGCCGUAACAC
rnacentral:rRNA from 1 species